rnacentral:rRNA from 1 species
UACGUAGGGUGCAAGCGUUAAUCGGAAUUACUGGGCGUAAAGCGUGCGCAGGCGGUUUUGUAAGUCUGACGUGAAAUCCCCGGGCUCAACCUGGGAAUUGCGUUGGAGACUGCAAGGCUGGAGUCUGGCAGAGGGGGGGGUAGAAUUCCACGUGUAGCAGUGAAAUGCGUAGAGAUGUGGAGGAACACCGAUGGCGAAGGCAGCCCCCCUGGGUCAAGAUUGACGCUCAUGCACGAA